rnacentral:rRNA from 1 species
AUGGGUGCGCACUGGACGCGUCGGGACCGCGGGCGCGCGUACGAGCGUGCGGUUGACGUUGGGAGGAGGCGUAUGUCGUCGUUGUGCUCAAGUCCGUGCUCGAGUUCGGCUAUACCCUUCCGGCGUUUGUCGCUGGCGGCUACCAUGGCGGACGCGGAGGCGGCGCGCGGUGAGCGUCUGGUGCGGUCGGGCUCGUCGGGCGCGUCAGGUGCGCGCGGGACAUGCGGGACACACCGGUGCAGUCGGGCUCGUCGGGUGCGUUGGGUGCGCGCGGGACGUGCGGGGCGGCGAGGGACGUCAGGCGUGUGUCGCCGGCGGAGAAGGAGCUCGGCGUGUGUCGCCGGAGUCGUGAUGGAGCACGGUGCGACCGGCGUCAUUGCGCCAGGUCGGGUCCGCGGGCUGGGUCACGCUCGUGACGACGACAACGACGGGAGCUGCAACAAAUCCGACGAUGGCGAAGUCAAGAUUAGGGGGAGAAUGUUAGGAAUGAUCUUGACAUUCAGGAUGGAGGCUGGUCGUCCGGCCGCGAGAGUGGGCUUCAGGAUGGAGGCUGGUCGUCCGGCCGCGAGAGUGGGCUGCCGGGACUUGGGUCGUGCCUUUGGUCAGUUGGCGCAACGUUGGUGUGCUGGCCGAGAGCAGCGGCUGGCCAUGCAUGUGCGAGUUGCAUGGAUCAGUUAG